UCCCUGGUGGCUGAGAGAUUAAAGCAUCUGCCUGCAAUGCGGGAGACCUGGGUUCGAUCCCUGGGUUGGGAA
rfam:TPA: Bos taurus chromosome 27, whole genome shotgun sequence.